rnacentral:rRNA from 1 species
GAGUAUGGCAGAGGGGGGUAGAAUUCCACGUGUAGCAGUGAAAUGCGUAGAGAUGUGGAGGAAUACCGAUGGCGAAGGCAGCCCCCUGGGCCAAUACUGACGUUCAUGCACGAAAGCGUGGGGAGCAAACAGGAUUAGAUACCCUGGUAGUCCACGCCCUAAACGAUGUCAACUAGUUGUUGGGGAUUCAUUUCCUUAGUAACGUAGCUAACGCGUGAAGUUGACCGCCUGGGGAGUACGGUCGCAAGAUUAAAACUCAAAGGAAUUGACGGGGACCCGCACAAGCGGUGGAUGAUGUGGAUUAAUUCGAUGCAACGCGAAAAACCUUACCUACCCUUGACAUGGUC